GACGAACGCUGGCGGCGUGCUUAACACAUGCAAGUCGAACGGAAAGGCCCUGCUUUUGUGGGGUGCUCGAUUGGCGAACGGGUGAGUAACACGUGAGUAACCUGCCCUUGACUUUGGGAUAACUUCAGGAAACUGGGGCUAAUAUCGGAUAGGAGCUCCUGCUGCAUGGUGGGGGUUGGAAAGUUUCGGCGGUUGGGGAUGGACUCGAGGCUUAUCAGCUUGUUGGUGGGGUAGUGGCUUACCAAGGCUUUGAAGGGUAGCCGGCCUGAGAGGGUGACCGGCGACAUUGGGACUGAGAUACGGCCCAGACUCCUACGGGAGGCAGCAGUGGGGAAUAUUGCACAAUGGGCGGAAGCCUGAUGCAGCAACGCCGCGUGCGGGAUGACGGCCUUCGGGUUGUAAACCAAUUUCGCCUGUGACGAAGCGUGAGUGACGGUAAUGGGUAAAGAAGCAACGGCUAACUACGUG
rnacentral:rRNA from 1 species